rnacentral:rRNA from 1 species
GACGAACGCUGGCGGCGUGCUUAACACAUGCAAGUCGAACGGAAAGGCCCUGCUUUUGUGGGGUGCUCGAGUGGCGAACGGGUGAGUAACACGUGAGUAACCUGCCCUUGACUUUGGGAUAACUUCAGGAAACUGGGGCUAAUAACGGAUAGGAGCUCCUGCUGCAUGGUGGGGGUUGGAAAGUUUCGGCGGUUGGGGAUGGACUCGCGGCUUAUCAGCUUGUUGGUGGGGUAGUGGCUUACCAAGGCUUUGACGGGUAGCCGGCCUGAGAGGGUGACCGGCCACAUUGGGACUGCGAUACGGCCCAGACUCCUACGGGAGGCAGCAGUGGGGAAUAUUGCACAAUGAGCGGAAGCCUGAUGCAGCAACGCCGCGUGCGGGAUGACGGCCUUCGGGUUGUAAACCGCUUUCGCCUGUGACGAAGCGUGAGUGACGGUAAUGGGUAAAGAAGCACCGGCUAACUACGUG